CCUACGGGCGGCAGCAGUGGGGAAUAUUGCACAAUGGGGGAAACCCUGAUGCAGCGACGCCGCGUGAGUGAAGAAGUAUUUCGGUAUGUAAAGCUCUAUCAGCAGGGAAGAAAAUGACGGUACCUGACUAAGAAGCCCCGGCUAACUACGUGCCAGCAGCCGCGGUAAUACGUAGGGGGCAAGCGUUAUCCGGAAUUACUGGGUGUAAAGGGAGCGUAGACGGCAGCACAAGUCUGGAGUGAAAUGCCGGGGCUUAACCCCGGAACUGCUUUGGAAACUGUGCAGCUAGAGUGCAGGAGAGGUAAGUGGAAUUCCUGGUGUAGCGGUGAAAUGCGUAGAGAUUAGGAGGAACACCAGUGGCGAAGGCGGCUUACUGGACUGUAACUGACGUUGAGGCUCGAAAGCGUGGGGAGCAAACAGGAUUAGAUACCCUUGUAGUC
rnacentral:rRNA from 1 species